rnacentral:sRNA from 1 species
GGGACCAGGCUCCUGCAUCCCUCCAGAAACCCGACCUCUCCAGCCUUCGCCGUCUCGCCGGGGCUCUUGCCCUACAAUCGCCCGCGUCCGCCGCCCCUCAACCGAUCCAGGCCUC